CACAUUAUUCAAAACAUUGAAUCAC
rnacentral:miRNA from 1 species